CAUAGCAAACUCCGAAUACCGAAGAGUGCAAUCACGGGAGACAGACAUCGGGUGCUAACGUCCGGUGUCAAGAGGGAAACAACCCAGACCGCCAGCUAAGGUCCCCAAAUAUAGCUAAGUGGGAAACGAAGUGGGAAGGCUAAAACAGUCAGGAGGUUGGCUUAGAAGCAGCCACCCUUUAAAGAAAGCGUAAUAGCUCACUGAUCGAGUCGUCCUGCGCGGAAGAUGUAACGGGGCUAAGCUAUAUACCGAAGCUGCGGAUGCGUGCUUAGCACGCAUGGUAGGAGAGCGUUCCGUAAGCCUGCGAAGGUGCUUUGUAAAGGGUGCUGGAGGUAUCGGAAGUGCGAAUGCUGACAUGAGUAGCGAUAAAGGGGGUGAAAGGCCCCCUCGCCGUAAGCCCAAGGUUUCCUACGCAACGUUCAUCGGCGUAGGGUGAGUCGGCCCCUAAGGCGAGGCAGAAAUGCGUAGCUGAUGGGAAGCAGGUCAAUAUUCCUGCACCAUUGUUAGAUGCGAUGGGGGGACGGAUCGCGGAAGGUUGUCCGGGUGUUGGAAGUCCCGGUCGCUGCAUUGGAGAAGGCGCUUAGGCAAAUCCGGGCGCGGAAUUCAAGGGUGUGGCGCGAGCUCCUUAGGGAGCGAAGCAAUUGGAAGUGGUUCCAAGAAAAGCCUCUAAGCUUCAGUCUAACGAUGACCGUACCGCAAACCGACACAGGUGGGCGAGAUGAGUAUUCUAAGGCGCUUGAGAGAACUCGGGAGAAGGAACUCGGCAAAUUGGUACCGUAACUUCGGGAUAAGGUACGCCCUUGUAGCUUGACUGGCUUGCGCCAGAAGGGUGAAGGGGUUGCAAUAAACUGGUGGCUGCGACUGUUUAAUAAAAACACAGCACUCUGCAAACACGAAAGUGGACGUAUAGGGUGUGACGCCUGCCCGGUGCCGGAAGAUUAAAUGAUGGGGUGCAAGCUCUUGAUUGAAGUCCCGGUAAACGGCGGCCGUAACUAUAACGGUCCUAAGGUAGCGAAAUUCCUUGUCGGGUAAGUUCCGACCUGCACGAAUGGCGUAACGAUGGCCACACUGUCUCCUCCCGAGACUCAGCGAAGUUGAAGUGUUUGUGAUGAUGCAAUCUACCCGCGGCUAGACGGAAAGACCCCAUGAACCUUUACUGUAGCUUUGCAUUGGACUUUGAACCGAUCUGUGUAGGAUAGGUGGGAGGCUAUGAAACCGGAACGCUAGUUUCGGUGGAGCCGUCCUUGAAAUACCACCCUGGUUUGUUUGAGGUUCUAACCUUGGCCCGUGAUCCGGGUCGGGGACAGUGCAUGGUAGGCAGUUUGACUGGGGCGGUCUCCUCCCAAAGCGUAACGGAGGAGUACGAAGGUACGCUAGGUACGGUCGGAAAUCGUGCUGAUAGUGCAAUGGCAUAAGCGUGCUUAACUGCGAGACCGACAAGUCGAGCAGGUGCGAAAGCAGGUCAUAGUGAUCCGGUGGUUCUGUAUGGAAGGGCCAUCGCUCAACGGAUAAAAGGUACUCUGGGGAUAACAGGCUGAUACCGCCCAAGAGUUCAUAUCGACGGCGGUGUUUGGCACCUCGAUGUCGGCUCAUCUCAUCCUGGGGCUGUAGCCGGUCCCAAGGGUAUGGCUGUUCGCCAUUUAAAGAGGUACGUGAGCUGGGUUUAAAACGUCGUGAGACAGUUUGGUCCCUAUCUGCCGUGGGCGUUGGAUAUUUGAAGGGGGCUGCUCCUAGUACGAGAGGACCGGAGUGGACGAACCUCUGGUGUACCGGUUGUCACGCCAGUGGCAUCGCCGGGUAGCUAUGUUCGGAAGAGAUAACCGCUGAAAGCAUCUAAGCGGGAAACUCGCCUUAAGAUGAGAUAUCCCUGGGGACUAGAUCCCCUUGAAGGGUCGUUCGAGACCAGGACGUUGAUAGGUCAGGUGUGUAAGCGCAGUAAUGCGUUCAGCUAACUGAUACUAAUUGCCCGUAAGGCUUGAUC
rnacentral:rRNA from 1 species